GACGAACGCUGGCGGCGUGCUUAACACAUGCAAGUCGAACGGAAAGGCCCUGCUUUUGUGGGGUGCUCGAGUGGCGAACGGGUGAGUAACACGUGAGUAACCUGCCCUUGACUUUGGGAUAACUUCAGGAAACUGGGGCUAAUACCGGAUAGGAGCUCCUGCUGCAUGGUGGGGGUUGGAAAGUUUCGGCGGUUGGGGAUGGACUCGCGGCUUAUCAGCUUGUUGGUGGGGUAGUGGCUUACCAAGGCUUUGACGGGUAGCCGGCCUGAGAGGGUGACCGGCCACAUUGGGACUGAGAUACAGCCCAGACUCCUACGGGAGGCAGCAGUGGGGAAUAGUGCAAAAUGGGCAGAAGACUGAUGCAGAAACGCCGCGUGCGGGAUGACGGCCUUCGGGUUGUAAACCGCUUGCGCCUGUGACGAAGCGUGAGUGACGGUAAUGGGUAAAGAAGCACCGGCUAACUACGUG
rnacentral:rRNA from 1 species